rnacentral:rRNA from 1 species
GGGAUAUUGGACAAUGGGGGGAACCCUGAUCCAGCGACGCCGCGUGAGUGAAGAAGUAUCUCGGUAUGUAAAGCUCUAUCAGCAGGGAAGAAAGCAAUGACGGUACCUGAGUAAGAAGCCCCGGCGAACUACGUGCCAGCAGCCGCGGUAAUACGUAGGGGGCAAGCGUUAUCCGGAUUUACUGGGUGUAAAGGGAGCGUAGACGGCAGUGCAAGUCUGGAGUGAAAGGCGGGGGCUCAACCCCCGGACUGCUCUGGAAACUGUACGGCUGGAGUGCAGGAGAGGUAAGUGGAAUUCCUAGUGUAGCGGUGAAAUGCGUAGAUAUUAGGAGGAACACCAGUGGCGAAGGCGGCUUACUGGACUGUAACUGACGUUGAGGCUCGAAAGCGUGGGGAGCAAACA